GGUGGGAUGGCGGAGCGGCUGAACGCGCCGGUCUUGAAAACCGGUAGGGGGCUCGUCCUCCUCGUGGGUUCGAAUCCCACUCCCACCG
rnacentral:tRNA from 1 species